AAAAAUCUCAUUGCAAAGUAUGACAAAAUGUCAUAGUAUCGUAUGAUAAAAAGGUCAUAGUAUAGUAUGAUAAAAAUGUCAGUAUAGUAUGAUAAAAAUGUCAUAGUAUCAUAUGAUAAAAAUGUCAUAGUAUAGAAUGAUAAAAAUGUCAGUAUAGUAUGAUAAAAAUGUCAUAGUAUAGAAUGAUUAGAAAAAUAAUAGUAUAGUAUGAUAAUUAUAUCAUGGUAUAGUAAGAUAAAAUGUCAGUAUAGUAUAAUAAAAAGAUCAUAGUAUAGUACAAUAAAAAUGUCAAAGUAUAGUUUGAAAAAAGUCAUAUUAUAGUAAGUUAAAAAAUGUCAAAGUAUAGUAUGAUAAAAAUGUCAUAGUAUUGUAUAAUAAAUAAAUGUCAUAGUAUUGUAUGAUAAAAAAGGCUUGGGAAAAAAAAGAUACAAAAUGUUAGUAUACUUUGAUAAAAAAAUUCUAAUUUUAGUUUGAAAAAAGUCAUAGUAUAGUAUGUUAAAAAAUGUAAUGUUUUAGUAUGAUUAAAAAUUUUAAAUUUUAGUUUGAAGAAAAGUCAUAGUAUAGUAUGUUAAAAAAUCUAUAGUAUAGUAUGAUUAAAAAUUUAAAAUCUAGUCUGAUAAAAGUCAUAGUUUAGUAUGUUGGUAAAAGGCCAUAGAAUAGUAUGAUAAAAAUUUUCAAAUUUUAGUGUGAAAAAAAAAGUCUUGGUAUAGUAUGUUAAAAAUUGUCAUAGUAUACUACAUUUAAAAAAUGUCAUAGAAUAGUUUGUUAAAAAAAUGAAAAUUUUGAUUUGGAAAAAAGUCAUUAAGUUUGUUAAAAAAUGGUAUAGUAUAAUAUGAUAAAAAAAAUUCAAAUUUUAGUUUAAAAAAACGUCAUAGUAUAGUAUGUUAAAAAUGUCAUAGUAUAGUGUGAUAAAAAAUAAAUAAAUUUUAGUUUGAAAAAAAGAUCAUAGUGUAGUAUGUUAAAAAAUGUCAGUUAAGAAUAAGAAAUUUUAAAUUUUUAUUUGAAAAAAAGUCAUAGUAUGGUAUGUCAAAAAGUCAUAGUAUAGUCUGUUAAAAAAUUCAUAGUAUAGUAUGUUAAAAAAUUGACAGCCUGACAGCCUUAUAUUCAUACUGUAAACCAAACAGCCAAUAGUAAGACUGUGCUUUCCUCUUUAGCUGAUGCUUGCUGUUUUUCUUUUUCUGAGUAAUUUCUGUCUUAUAAAUAUGUAAUAUUUGACUUGUGGUAAAAUCUACAUCAUGCGCUAACUACCAAAACAAACACAAACACACAGCUUUAUGUAAUCCGACAUUAGGAAAACUUUGGUCUUUGUUCUGAGAUACUGAUCAUAUAUCCAGUAUGUGUAUUUAUUAACAAGCAUAUUCAACAAUCUAAACUGUUCAGAAAAAUUUAAGAGUGGUGGAUGAUAUAAAGAAACAGGAGUGGACUUUGAGUCUGACCCUGGAUCAGCAGGGCUUUCGAUCACUGCUGCUCUGUUUGGAGGCAGAAAUACGAGGCUGGACGAAGCACCUUGGUGAAGAUUAUGAGACUGCACCAAUCAUCCAUCACUCUUAGGCUUGUCCUUGGAAUACAUAAUGUAAUGAUAAUCUGAUCCAGUAUGCAAAUGAAGGCACAGCGGGGUGACUGCAGGGAGAGCAGUCCACCUGCCCCACAGCAGAGUCGCCCCUAAGAACUGAUCUGCUGUCAGAACAAAAACAGACUGCAUAAAGGCAUGAAAACUAAAACAACCGAGUUUGAAUGGCACUUCAGUGUCCUGAAAUCAGUUGAUCAACGAUCUCACCUAGAGGGAGAGUCUGUGGUUUAGUUUUCUUUUAGAUUAACAGCAGUUUUACCCGCAUGUGCUCUCACCGGUGUUUGUCUGCUCACAGUUUCAGCAGGAGAUGUUCUGGUUUCUAUUUUUGAUCCAUGUCAGGGCUGGUCCAGGCUCAAACCCAUAGAUUUAAUGCACCAUGACUGUCACGCCAUCUUAACUAAUUAGACUGGGUGUCUGGCACUGCAGAGAGAGUUUCGACACACAUGAAGAGAUGUUGAUGUUGUGAUGGGAAAUCUUCAUGUGGACGAGGUUUGGAAACAUUUUCUCUUACACCCACUUGCACCCGUUGACCCUGGAGCCACAGUAACCCACACAUGGGGGACAUACUGUCAAUUUGGGGCCUUGAGAAAGUCCUGUUUGCAUGAUACAAACCUUUAAGUAUGAGAUCUAACAGAUGUAUUUGGUCAGACUCAAAUUCCCAAAGACCACGUCUCUGUAGUCUAUGCAGGCUUACGGUUCAACCAGCAAAUAUUCAGCCAAAUCCUCAUCCACAAAAACCAGAAUACUUUCAACGCCCCAAAUCUUCAGCCACAUCAACAGAAUCUAAAACCCAAAUUCCAUGAGCGCUGUGAUGCUGCAGAAAAUGGGGAUUUAAAAAACAGAAUUUGACCAUUUAAAUUCUACCAUUUAUUAAAAAUAGUGUCAGAACAUCAAAUCUAAUACUGACAAUGACAUGGUGUAGUAUAAAAAAUGUCAA